ensembl:piRNA 21ur-4620 ncRNA
UUAAACGACAGUUUGAUCAGC